AGCGAACGUUAAGCGGCGGGCUUAACACAUGCAAGUCGAGCGAGAAAGGGGGCUUCGGCCCCGAGUACAGCGCGGACGGGUGAAUAACACGUAGGUAACCUUCCUUCCAGCGGGGGACAACGGUCCGAAAGGACCGCUAAUACCGCAUACGUUGCUCCGGGGACCUCGGUCCUGGGGGAGGAAAGCCUCGCAAGGGGCACUGGAUGAGGGGCCUGCGUAGCAUCAGCUAGUUGGUGGGGUAAUGGCCUACCAAGGCGAAGACGCUUAGCUGGUCUGAGAGGAUGAUCAGCCACACUGGGACUGAGACACGGCCCAGACUCCUACGGGAGGCAGCAGUGGGGAAUAUUGGACAAUGGGCGAAAGCCUGAUCCAGCCACGCCGCGUGAGUGAUGAAGGCCUUCGGGUCGUAAAGCUCUGUGGGGAGGGACGAAUAACGCAGUGAAGAACUGCGCUUGACGGUACCUCCUUAGCAAGCACCGGCUAACUUCGUGCCAGCAGCCGCGGUAA
rnacentral:rRNA from 1 species